UUCCGCUGAGGAGAUCUUUUCUCAGAUCUAAAAUGUCUGGGGAAUAAGGGGAGGGCAAGUCUGGUGUCAGCCGCCGCGGUAAUACCAGCUCCUCGAGUGGUCAGGGCGUUUAUUGGGCCUAAAGCAUCCGUAGCCGGCUCAGUAGGUCUCCUGUUAAAUCCAACGGCUCAACCGUUGGUCUGCAGGAGAUACCGCUGGGCUAGGAGGCGGGAGAGGCGGACGGUACUCCGAGGGUAGGGGUAAAAUCCUUUGAUCCCCGGAAGACCACCAGUGGCGAAGGCGGUCCGCCAGAACGCGCUCGACGGUGAGGGAUGAAAGCUGGGGGAGCGAACCGGAUUAGAUACCCCCGUAGUCC
rnacentral:rRNA from 1 species